CCUUGGGGAAAUUCCCCGGACGCAAGGGCAGAGAGUGCCGCCCGGGAACGGGUUACCGGCGCGGACGCCGCUCCGCGUGUGGGCGACGAGGGUCCCCCAGCUG
rnacentral:RNase_MRP_RNA from 1 species